AAACAGGACACAAUUGGAGAAACUGGUUAUUUUACCAAGGCUUUGACUGGAAUGGUGCACUUUCCUUUAAGGAUCAAACAUGACUUAUGGAGCCAAUUAAAUCCCCUUGGGAAAACUGGCCUCAUUGCUUGUCUACACAGUUCCUGUCCAGGGUUCCUGACUUACGGUAAGUAACAAAUGUCACUUUCUGGGAGGCCCAGGAGCCCCAAGUUUAUCUCAGAACCUCAAAAGGAGAGGAAUUCACCCAACUCAUAGGUAUUCGAUGGUACAAAUCCAUGGCUGGGCUUGGCUUUAUAAAAGUCUUAUCUGAGAUUCCUUUUAUGGAACAAAGUUCCAUCAAAGCCAACUUAAAAGCUUGUGUAAAAAAUAUUAUUCUUGCUAUACUAUAUACAAAUAAGCAGGCCAAGUAUAACAAAGCAAAUCAGUCUUACCAUGUUCUGUCUUUAAUAAAAAUGGGAAACUCGAGAAAGAAAAAUUUUGUUUCGAAAACUAAAUUUAGAUUCUAGUCUUACCUAAUGUUUUUCAAUUUUUAUUAUUUUCUAGAGGUGGGACUGAAUUCUAAUUUUUAUUAUUUUCUAAAGGUGGGACUGAAUUCUAAUUUUUCUUGGCUACAAGUCUUCAAAAUAAUGUUUUCAAUUUUUUUCCUUCCCCCUGCCAUUUUUCCUAUCUGGAGUCACUGAAAACUAAGCUGUGUUUUCAUAAAGCCCUGUGAACUGAAGCCAGACAACUUAAACUUCAGAAGAAAGUAACAGCAACCUAUUUACAUACAUAAGCCAGUCUCAUACCUGCCUACUGAUGUAUGGACUUCAGAGUAAUGUGGCCUACACCAAUAUUUCAGGAUUGUUCUUUUGUUUGUUGUUGUUUUUCUCCCUUCCUCUCCCUAUUUUCUCUUCACAGGAUGUGAGACUUCACAACCUGCUAAAAAUGAACUUUCCUAAUAACUCGGGACCUACCCAUCUAGGAAUAAACCAUCCUAUUCAUGACAGUGCCUGUGAAAGAUAAAGGAGAAAGAAUCAGGGUUGGAGAACUGGAAAAGUCUUGGCCAACCAAAUAGGCAACCCUGCAGCAAAGAUUGCCCAUUAGAAGAGUCAAAUGCUAGGAAGAAAUUGCAAACCCUACUAUUCUCACUGUGCUCAAACUUCGACUAGGAACUUCCACAAAGAGUGUGGCCUUGGCUUGAACAUUGCAGCAGCAGAUUAUGUAGGUGCUGAACUUGGAGUUUUGCACUUCUCACAGCUGACAGCAAAUUCUUUCUUCAAGGGAGACCUGAGCAGUCCUCCAUAUCUGCCAAAUUACUGCAUAGGAACAAAAAGGAGCCCUCCAUUCAUCUAAGAAGCAAAAUGAACUAGCAGAGAGAGCUUUGGCAUCAGGCAAAUCUGAUUGUAAAUACUUCUAGCAUAUAGUUGCUCUUACAUUGAGUUGGAUUGCUGGAUCAGGAAAUAUUAAUAUUUUAAAGACAUUUAUUACCAAACCAGUAUCAAAAAUAUCACUUUGGUUGACCAUGAUACCAGCAAUGGAUACAUGUAUAUGUUUCCCUGAAAUGCUAUGAAUACUGUUUUUCUGAGGCAUGAAGAGGUAAGCAGCAACACAAAGACUAGCAUCAAUGCCUCCUCUUUUUUUAUCUAGUGCUUUCAGCACAACCUAUCAUAUGAGCAAAAAGUAUACAUUAAUCUAGUAGAUGCACCUGCCUAUUUUAUCUUGUGGUUUAACUUCCAAGAACACUUCCUAAAAAUAUACAAUGUCUUAGCACCAAUUACAAUGUUAUAAUUAAUUUAUCCUUAAUUUUCUGAAUAAAGUAAUUUUCAGGCACAUCUUUCCAUGGAUUCGGUUUGUAGUUCUGGCUAAUUGCAUGGGCUCAGAAACCAGACGGAAUCUCAAGUCUCCUACUUAGUAGAUAUGUGAGAGGCACAGGGGUUACUCAGUCUUUCUGCACUUCAAUUUUCUUCCUAUGAAAUGGGUUUGACAAUGGCAUAGAAUUUAGAGUAUUAUGACACAUAAAUGAGUUAAUAUAAAGAAACUACUUAAAAAGUAUCUAAUAUACAGUAAAAUACCAAUAAAUUCUAGCUGUAUUUGGGAGCUCCCUAAAUAUGUAGUAGGGAGAUAUAUAUUUAAUAGGCUUUGUCUUUGUUUAAAAUGAUUGAUUGAUUAGGCCAUUUAUGUUGUAAUAUAUGUUUAACACCAUGUAGAUCAGGGAAGACAAAUAUAUUUCAUGUCCCAUUGUCAUUUGACUGGUAAUGGCUGCCUGGAACACUGUGCUGAAAAGGAUUGUGUGUCCACAUCUAUGACUAGAGAGAGUCAUAUUUAAUUAGCAGUGUCAGCCACAGGUGCAGAAG
rnacentral:lncRNA from 1 species